CUGGCCCUGGCUCAAUGGUAUAGAUUCUGCCUGAAAUGCAGGAGACCCAGGUUUGAUCCCUGGGUCAGA
rnacentral:tRNA from 1 species